rnacentral:rRNA from 1 species
UACGUCGGGACCAAGCGUUGUUCGGAUUUACUGGGCGUAAAGGGCGCGUAGGCGGCGUGUUAAGUCAGCUGUGAAAUCUCCAAGCUUAACUUGGAACGGUCAGCUGAUACUGAUGUGCUAGAGUGCAGAAGGGGCAACCGGAAUUCUUGGUGUAGCGGUGAAAUGCGUAGAUAUCAAGAGGAACACCUGAGGUGAAGACGGGUUGCUGGGCUGACACUGACGCUGAGGCGCGAAAGCUAGGGUAGCAAACGGG